rnacentral:lncRNA from 1 species
CGCACUUAUUUUAGAUCCACACUGGGAUCUGUGGAGAGUUCAUUCCCCUAGAAGAUGAUGUGGCAAUGUAAAUUGCCUCCACGAAUAGCUUUUUUGUUGUGGACAAUUGUGAGACAGUAGGCGUUAAAGGUGGAUAAUCUUCGAAAAAAAGGUUUUUAUGUUAUCGAGUGGUGUUAUAUGUGUAAGAGGGAUGGGGAGACGAUUGACCACUUAUUCGUCUAUUGUGAUUAUGUUCGGUGGUUGUGGAGUUGUAUUCUAGCUUCUAAAC